AGCUUUGCACAGUGGCAGUAUCAUAGCCAAUGAGGUUUAUCCAAGGAGCGAUCAUUGCUAAUUGCAGAUGACAUGCUUUAUAUAUAAAAUCCCACAGACUCCACUAGAAAUCUAUUAGUAGA
ensembl:snRNA U4 U4 spliceosomal RNA